rnacentral:pre_miRNA from 1 species
CUGAUUAAGAGAUGGAGGCAAUGUGUAACAGCUGAUUAAGACUGUUACACAUUGCCUCCAUCUCUUAAUCAGCUGUUACACAUUGCCUCCAUCUCUUAAUCAGA